AUGCUCAUUUUGGCAGCAUGUACACCAAAAUUGGAACAAUACAGAGAAGAUUAACAUGGCCCUUGCGCAAGGAUGACAUGCAAAUUCAUGCAGUAUUAAACUCUCAG